rnacentral:rRNA from 1 species
UACAGAGGCCUCGAGCGUUAGGCGGAAUCACUGGGCUUAAAGCGUGUGUAGGCGGAUUGGUAAGUACCUUGUGAAAUCCCACAGCUUAACUGUGGAAUUGCUCGGUAUACUGCUGAUCUUGAGCCACUCAGGGGCUACCGGAACAAAUGGUGGAGCGGUGAAAUGCGUAGAUAUCAUUUGGAACGCCAAUGGUGAAAACAGGUAGCUGGGGGUGUGCUGACGCUGAGACACGAAAGCCAGGGGAGCAAACGGG